AAAGCUCCAUUCUCAAUCUGCGCACGCGCAACCUAGGCCUGCUCCCUAUUUCCGAGCCCAGCAACAAGAGUAACUGUGGGACGGUCCCGGCCCAAUCGCUGACGAGAUCGGAAGGGCUGUCGGCAGGGUUUUCUCUUCGGCGGAGCCAAUCCCGAGCCGGCCCGUGGGACAAGGCCCACAGGCCACACGUGAGGCUGCUGCACUCCAGAGGAGGCGUUCCGGGGUCCCAGAGGACAUUAGGUGCUCAGUGUUGCUGAGUGCACACGUAAGGGUAGAUCAGGUGGAGAUAAUGGGCCAUCUAACCGUGAUCUGGCAGAUAAAGAGGAUACAACGAAGAGUGUACCAGCGCCCAGGAUAUGAAUUGAAGAAAC